UUAACACAUGCAAGUCAAACGGGAAGUGGUGUUUCCAGUGGCGAACGGGUGAGUAACGCGUAAGAACCUGCCCUUGGGAGGGGAACAACAACUGAAAACGGUUGCUAAUACACCGUAGGCUGAGGAGCAAAAGGAGAAAUCCGCCCAAGGAGAGGCUCGCGUCUGAUUAGCUAGUUGGUGAGGUAAUAGCUUACCAAGGCGAUGAUCAGUAGCUGGUCCGAGAGGAUUAACAUUUUUGAAAUACAAGAAUAAUUUUUUUAACACAUGGUGA
rnacentral:ncRNA from 1 species